rnacentral:sRNA from 1 species
CACGUUUGGUUUGGAUUGAUUGCUUAACCAGCACAGUGGCUAGAAAGAACGAUUCACAAAAAAUCAUCGAAAGAAAAACGGGGGAAUAUUAACGAAAGCAGUUUGGAUAUGCAGAACCAAGCAAAUCAGCAUCAAGAUGCAGCGCUGGAUUAUGUAUAGCCUUGCUCGCUUCCCCUUCAAGACUCUACCCCUUGAAGCCCGAACCUUGCACCCCGUCCUCGGAGGAAAGGGCAAGCACCCCAUCCCUGUGAGAGUCUCUGAACCAACUAUCAAAACCUGAACUUUGUAUUUUGGAGAUUGUUCACACUUAAACUGACUGCUCUCACAUUUAGUAGUGCUUAGUGUGGGGAGGUUACGAAAAGUUGGUUACGAAAUUUUGUCUUCGAGCGCAGCAAGUUCCUGUAAAUUUGUUGCAAUUCUGGGGGUUGCAGCAUGUGGCUUCCCUGGGGAGUUCCGCAAGGAGCCAAAACCCAAUAUUCUGGUUUCAACCAUUUUUU